UGUUACUCUUGUUGAGAGGUAGGGUUCUAUGUACCCUACCCUUGAAUUUGGAUGGAUUGUGUUUGCUUGGGCCAAAAGAGUAUAGCAGAAGUGAUGCUAUGUGACCUCCAGAGUGAGGUCAUAAAUGGCCAGAAUCCCAUCUAAGAAGUCUGACUACUACCCUGAUGGCAUCAUACUACAUGGCCAUAUGUAGGCCUUCUGGCUAAGCCUAGUUGUUGCCCCCCUCCCAACGUGGGCAACAGCUGUGUGAGUGAAGAAGUCAUCCUGGUGUGGAUCCUCCAGCUACUCCAGCCCUCAGUUACGGAGUCAUUCCCCACUUGGAAGUCACUUGGGCCAAGACCCCAUACAAGAUGAACAGAGAAGAACUUCUGGGAAUGUGCUUUCCCAGUCCCUGACACAUAGCUUUCAUGAGCCUAAUAAAUGAUGGCAGUUGUUUCAGGUCACUAUGCUUGGGGGAUAGUUUGUUACCCAGUGAUAGAUAACUGGAACAGAAUGGAGACCAUCUUACAUAGUCCUUUGUAUAACAUAGGAGGAGAAUUUAUAUUUAAAGUUUAUUAAACAACAGCCUUUUCAAGAGUGAGGACCAUGACUUUUAGCAGGGGGCCAUGCACGUUCUUCUUCCGGUGUGGAGCAUCAUGCCUGGAGACAGUCCUGAUAUCAGACAUCACAGAAUUGUUCAACCCACUGCAGUAAGAAUUUCCUGAGUGCCUACCCUGAACAGAGAUGGAGAGCAGAUUACAGAAACAAGGAAGACUUCAUCUUUGCCCUGAAAGGGGCCUGCAAGAUCUUUGAGUGCCAGAGUAUUCUAUUCCUUUGGCUUCUUUCCAGUCUUUGGAGCAAGAACUCCGUCAACAUUGGCAAUUUCCUGCAUGCCUCCGAGCUACCUCUGGGAGGCAAAGAUUCCAGAGCCAGAGAAGAAGACCUGCGAACAUAAGAUGUAUCUAGAAACCCCUCCGUGUGAGUCACAUUAGGC
rnacentral:lncRNA from 1 species